GACGAACGCUGGCGGCGUGCUUAACACAUGCAAGUCGAACGGAAAGGCCGUGCUGUGGGGGGGUGCGCGAAGGGCGAACGGGUGAGUAACACGUGAGUAACCUGCCCUUGACUUUAGGAGAACUUCAGAAAACAGGGGCUAAUACCGGAUAGGAGCUCCCGCGGCAUGGUGGGGGCGGGAAAGUUUCGGUGGUUGGGGAUGGACUCGCGGCCUAUCAGCUUGAUGGUUGGGUAGUGGCUUAGCAAGCCUUUGCACGGUAGCCGGGCUGAUCGGGUGACCGGCCCCAUUGCGACUGAGAUGCGGCACAGCCUCCUCCGGGACGCAGCGGAGGAGUGUAUUGCACAAUGGGCGGAGCCCUAAUGCAGCCACGCCGCGUCGGGGAUGACGGCCUGCGGGUUGUGAACCGCUUCCGUCUCUGACGAAGCGUUAGUGACGGUAAUGGGUAAAGAAGCACCGGCUAACUACGUG
rnacentral:rRNA from 1 species